UUAUUUCUUAAAUUCUGUCCUCGAUCAAAUGAUGAUAGGAGGGAGGUAGUAUUAGUUUUUGGGAGAACAACUAUUUUAUUAGAGUCUAUAGGUUAUGUUCAAUAACUAAAGUCACCCUCAUUGAUUCUUCCUCCAACCAGCUUCGACCAAACCACAUCUCAUUUCUGCUUUACGUUCACUUCGGCACAUAAACUCGCCGAUCCUGAUCAAAACAACCAUUUAACUUACCGGAGAACCACGACAACCUCCGACAGAAUGUGAAAUAAAACACCCAACACCACCACCUCUCCUCCUCAUCUUUCCGGCGAAACACCAUUUCUGGUGAAGCCGAACUCCGUCCAAGCAACCAGACAACCAACGAACUCCAUAUCCACCAUCAACACUCCACCAAAAAUCUCACUCCACCUACCUCCGUUCACCGUCACUGCUCCGGUAGAAGACGAAACCAACCAACCACAACUCGGAUCUGAACAGAAAUGGUCAUUAACAACAAUAACGACGGCCAAAACAGCUCCACUAAAAAUAUAAAACCAAUUGCUUUAUUAUGUUGAUACAGUUAUCAUAAUUUCUCCGUCUUUGUCUGGUUGUCAAAUUGUAAUUUUUGAAAUUUGUUAUUGUAUAUCUCAGUUGCUUUUUAGUGCUCUAUAUUAACUUGUAUUAAAAUUGUUUUAAAUAUUGCAAUACAAUUUUAAUUCUAUUACAAAAUAUAAAAGAAGAAUAAAAAUAAAUAGAGAAAAAAGAGGAGGCUACAUAUUUCUCUUGAAGGUGGG
rnacentral:lncRNA from 1 species